GACGAACGCUGGCGGCGUGCUUAACACAUGCAAGUCGAACGGUGAAGCUCCAGCUUGCUGGAGUGGAUCAGUGGCGAACGGGUGAGUAACACGUGAGCAACCUGCCCCUGACUCUGGAAUAAGCGCUGGAAACGGCGUCUAGUACUGGAUACGAGAAGGGUCCGCAUGGGCACUUUCUGGAAAGUUUUUCGGUUGGGGAUGGGCUCGCGGCCUAUCAGCUUGUUGGUGAGGUAAUGGCUCACCAAGGCGACGACGGGUAGCCGGCCUGAGAGGGCGACCGGCCACACUGGGACUGAGACACGGCCCAGACUCCUACGGGAGGCAGCAGUGGGGAAUAUUGCACAAUGGGCGAAAGCCUGAUGCAGCGACGCCGCGUGAGGGAUGACGGCCUUCGGGUUGUAAACCUCUUUCAGCAGGGAAGAAGCGAAAGUGACAGUACCUGCAGAAGAAGCACCGGCUAACUACGUG
rnacentral:rRNA from 1 species